UAUUUUGUUCUCAGUUCUUUCUUGAACUCAGAUCUCAUCAAUGAUGCCUUGAUCAGUUUGAUUGCAUUAUAGUAUAUGUUUGCAGUGUGUGAGAGGUAUGUAUUAGAUAUCCUAUGUACAAAUCAAAUAUUAAGAUUGCAUUAUACAUCUUUGUACUGUGACUAUGUAUCAUUGGUGGCACUAAUUUGUGUUGUUGCAUUUUAUUUCAUGGGUAAUUGGAUCUGUCGACGGGAGGGAGAGGGCGGGGGGUCACCAUGAGAUAGGGGAAGUCAUUGCAAAAGGGAGAAUGGGAUGGAUUGAUUGGUCCCAUGGUUUAAGGCGAGAAGAGUCGAUCGAAUGGAGAGGCCAGGCCCGUUGAGGCAACGCAGGCUGACUCCAUGGCUGCUUAGGUCGUAAGAUUGUACAUAAGAGAUGUGGACUGAGUGUGUGUACCCAAUGCACAAUGUGGAAUUCUCGGUGAUCGGCACCACUGCAUACAAGCUUAGCUUUAUGGAAGAGAUGCGUGAGAAGUUCAGACGCUUGAAGCA